rnacentral:lncRNA from 1 species
UUUGGGCAAAUCACCUCAUAGGGAGUUACACUAACUUUUUAUUUGCAUGUAUUUAUAUUUUUAUUUCCCUUGACCAAUACAAAUUUAGAGAUUCAAUUCAAGAAAAGAACUUCCAAAGUGAAGGUAGCACACUAUAAUUGAUUCAAUUUAGGCUUAAAGGGGUGGAAAAUCAAUGGGGUCAUGAGAUAGGAAGCUCUUUUAACCUUGUUAUCUAUGCUGAGUAGAGCAAAAGCUAAGUCAAAAUUCUGUGUGUGUGUGUGCAAAAAGUGAAAAAAUGUGUGAAAAAAUUUUGGUGUGUGUUUAUGGGGCAAAAAGAUGCAAAAAGAAACAAAAAGAAAGCAAAAAGAUAAUGUAAACGGAAAAAAUAUAACCUAAACCUAACAGUAAAUACCCCCACACCUAUCCCAAACAUUGUCCUCAAUGUUUAAUCAUAAAUAUGAAAAAAUUAAUAAGGAGAAGGAAAGGGACUGCCUGAGAUGUGGGUGAUUUGAGCAGGUGAUUUGGGCAAAUCACCCGGCCAAAUCACUGGCUGUCAUGGUCUGUGGGCAGAAAGUGUUGAACCAGCAGCUGCAACAUGCUUUCCAUGUGCUGCAUCCUGUCUUGAGCCUC